CGGCUCAGCUGCUAGUAGCUCCCUGGCUCAGGAAAAAGGCCGACGGGGCAGUCCCAGUUCUCCAGAGCAGUGCGGGAGGCAGGAAGGGGAAGGAGCGUGGAGGGAUCUGCAGGAAAACAAAGGGAGCAGCAAAAGGCAAAUGUAGCGGCUCUCACCUCUCCCUUCCCCCCUGCUAUCCCGGGAAAGGGAAGGGAGCAUGGAUUCCUACCCACAAGGUCAUGACAUGGGAAAACAAACAGAGCAGCCGCAGAACCAGCAUGCCCAUGCUGCGCGGCCACCAUCUCCGUGCCACGAGACUGCAGCGUGGGGAAAAAUAGACCUGCAACUGAGCAAGAAGGAACGAAGGAGCCAGCCCAAUGCCUGGGGUGCCCAAAAGUGCAUCCAUGAAGGAGCCAGCCCAACACACGAAAAAGCAUCCCCAGCCCUGCCCGUCUCCCCGCCACCAUCCCACGGGGGUGGGGGGGGGGAGGAGCCUGAGGCCAUGGCUUGGGGUCCACAAAGGAGCAUCCCUGGGUUGCCUCCCCUUCCCCCCGACGUCCAGCAACAGGAAGGAGUGAGGGAGCCACUACCCCUCACCUCCGAGACCGGCGAGGGAAAAAGGAAAAAAAGAGCACCCCCACCCAUUCACCUGGCCAUUCCCCCCCCCCAUCCUCGCACCGACCAUCGGCUGCAACCUGGGGGAAGAAAUGGGCCAUGAGGCUGCAGCAUGGGUAAAGAAAAGUGCCAGCAAAAGAAACCCGGGAGGGGGGGAAGGAGCCAGCAUCCCCACACCAUGAGGCCACAGCUUGGGGCCCACAAAGAACCUCCCUGGGUUCCCUCCUCUUCCCCCAACAUCCAGCUGUAGGAAGGAGCAAGGGAGCCAUAACCCCUCACCUCCGAGGCCACGGCAAGGCAAAAAAAGAAAAGAGCAUCCCUGCUCGCCCGCCUGGCCAUUCCCCCCCCCCAUCCUCACACUGGCCAUCGGCUGUAACCUGGGGGAAGAAAUGGGCCAUGAGGCCGCAGCAUGGGUAAAGAAAAGUGCCAGCAAAGGAAACCAGCAAUGAAUGAAGCAAUGAAGAUGAAACAGUCCAGAUGGCUGAAAAAUAACCCAGGCCUCUACUAUGUGAAAGAUAAGAGUAGAUCAUGCUGGCUGGGGGAAUUCUGGGAACAUUGGUUCAAAAUAGGAGAUUUUUCAAGCUCUGGUAAUGGGUAAUGGUCAUUCAUAAUAUGUAUGUUUUUAAUAGUGCUUUUUAAAAACUUUAUUACAUGAAAUAAAGAGCUGAAAAUAUUUUUAUAAAUAUGCAUACAUCAAUGAAAUGUAUACAUAUAAAUAUAAAUGCAUCAUUCUGAAAUUUGUUGCAUGUUUUCAUUCUGUUACAUUGCUCCAAGAGACUUAUUGUUUCCAGACCUGCUGCAGGGAGUUCAUUAAAAUGUUUUCAAAAUGC